rnacentral:misc_RNA from 1 species
AAGGAUCAUUAACAAAUCCAAAACACUCGUCUUGGUCUUGCGGGGUAGUCAGGCUGUGGCGUCUUUACUCUUUCGGGGGUGGAGUCAUCCAAGGGUCUUACUACUCUACUUGGCCUAUAUAGACACAACAUACAAACAUUGACAACCGAACCAAAAUAUUUAUUGAUUAAAUGUUUUACAAACAACUUUUAACAAUGGAUCUCUUGGCUCUU